rnacentral:rRNA from 1 species
UCAUUUAAAGAGUGCGUAAUAGCUCACUGGUCGAGCGUCGCAGCGCCGACAAUUCUCGGGACUAAGUAUAUCACCGAAACUAUGGAUCAUACUAUGUAUGAUGGUAGAGGAGCAUUCUAUUUGUGCCGAAGCCGGUUCGCGAGGAUCGGUGGAACGUAUAGAAGAGAAAAUGUAGGCAUAAGUAACGAUAACUAAAGUGAGAAUCUUUAGCGCCGUAAGUCUAAGGUUUCCUAGAGCUCUGUUCGUCAGCUCAGGGUUAGUCGGCCCCUAAGGCGAGACCG